AUGGGGGCUAAUUGUUGCAUAGCUGCCAAGCAGAGGCCUGAGCCAUCAGUAGCUUCAGUUGAAGUUUCGGCAUACAGGACAAGACACUCGCCGUCAUGGAGCUUCCGGUGGGACAACCGCACACACAUAGAGGAUAUAAUGGAAAACGCUGCACUGUUUUCCAAUCACAGUAGUGGAAACAUUCGUCCAGAACUAAAGAGUGGUUCCAUUGCACCAACCGAAGGCCAUCCCAAUGAGGACAAUCUCUCUGAUGUUUUCCGCGGGGUCAAAUGUCAAAAACCUGAUAAGAAGAUGGAAGCGUCCAAACGUUCCAAAGCUGGUCCUCAAGCCGUUCAAUCUACAGCGAGCAAUUCACCUCCUGAGGCAAAGUCCUGCAAAUCAUCAGAUAUGGUAAAUGUUGCUUCAGACAUAAAGACAUCAAAGUCCCUUCCUUCAACACCACCCCUAGUAUCCAGAACAGACCCUUCAUCCUCUAGGUGUCAUUCUCUUCAUGUGGACUCAUUCUCAAUGAGGAAAGCUCGUCGAUCACCUGGACAUCAACUAUGUAGGCAGAUCUCGGACGGCAAGAUCCCAUCUCUCAAGUCCUUCAGUGAGAGUAGCUAUGCAGGAGGAAGGCCAUCGAGUUCCAUGCUCUCGACCUACAGUAAUGAUCCAUUUGGAGGAGGAUCACAACAUGGUGGAUCAUCAGAUGGAUGGUCAACUCGCACAUUUUCUGACUUAGUGGCCUCAUCUCAAAGAGAGAGGUGGUCAGUUGACAGUGAGCUCUUUGGCUCCAUCAGCAGUAAAAUAGCUAGAUCAAAUGAUUCACAUGCAACUGCUCUCUCUCCUGACGAAGGGAUAUGCAAGCUGUGUUCAAAGCUAUUAAAGGAACGUUCUACAUGGAGUGCUCAUGAUCUGGGUGUAGUAGCUGUUUUAUUCUGUGGUCAUGCAUACCAUGCAAACUGUUUGGAUAGUACUACUUGUGAGAGCGAGAAAUAUGAUCCUCCAUGUCCUGUAUGCACCCAUGGUGAGAAAGGUGCAGCAAAGCUAUUUGGUAAGUUGGACUCAAAGAUUAAGAGCAGGAAAUCUAAAAAUGUGAUGUCAGAUACUGAUAUAGAUAGGAUCUCUAAGCACAAGAGAAGUAUGAGGGAGCCCAGGUUAGGCACAAGUUCUAGCAUGAAGGAUUCAUUUCGUCGACCAUUUUUAAAGAGGCAUUUUUCAAUUGGUUCUCGACCGCCAAGAUCAGUUCUGGGGAGUGAGCCAACAGGAAAGAAAGGUUUCUGGGCAAGACACUGGAGAGAAUAG
rnacentral:rRNA from 1 species